AAUGAGACUAUAAUUAAGGCGGCACAAUAUCUCUGUUAAGGACACUAUGAUUGGAUUUCGAUACUGGAAAAAUAGAGCCUCUUCUGGUAGGGAUGGUGUGGAAGCCGGCAAGGCCGGCCUUGGGGGUAGGCGAGAAGGGCCUUGGCCAUGGGCCUCCAAUUAAGGGGGCCCCAAAUUUUUUUAUAUAUUAUAUACAUAUUGUCCAACUUUAGAAUUUUUUUUUUUUUUAAAAAAAAGCCAGUGUUGUAAUUAAACGAGGAAGGCUAUUCCUCUUCCCAUCCAGAACCUCUUCGUUUCCUAAGAAGCUAGCAACAGCCCCUCUCUUAGUUCUUUCUCCAUGGAAUUCUAUUUAAUCCACCAAUUUCUUAAUAAUCCACCACUAUAUUUUUCUCUGUUUUUCCCAUCUCCUUUCAAUCCAUUUCCAUUAUUUUCAGUUUCUCUUAUCCCUCUUUUCUCAUAUCAUAUUAUAACCCUAAGAAUUAAUCUCACACUAAAAAGCUCACAAAUUGUCUUUGAGAUUGAUGGUGCCCAAGAGAGGAGGAGAAUGAGAAAUUGAAAAGACCAUAAAGAGGAUUUUGCUAAACUCAUGUGAUGAAGCCUGAAGCCAGAAACCAAUCUUAAGGGAAAGGGUUUAGUAUUUUGAACAAAGACUUAGUUUUAUUGUAUCUUGACAUGUUCCCGUUAUUGGUUGCUGGAUUGUUGGUUUGUAAAUUUGUAAUUUCCUUCAUGAUAUUAAAUAUCUAACGGUAAUGUUUUUUUUACGGAGAUAUGUCAUAUUGUAAUGCAUGCUACCUUUUUUAUUCACGCCCUACGCUCUAUAUAAUAUCAUUUUAUUUGUUGUU